rnacentral:tRNA from 1 species
GUUGAGUUAGUUUAUUCAGAAUUACACUUUUUCGUAGUGUGGGAGAACUUAGUUCAUUCAAUU